GAUGAACGCUGGCGGCGUGCCUAAUACAUGCGAGUCGAGCGAACGGACGAGAAGCUUGCUUUUCUGAUGUUAGCGGCGGACGGGUGAGUAACACGUGGAUAACCUACCUAUAAGACUGGGAUAACUUCGGGAAACCGGAGCUAAUACCGGAUAAUAUUUUGAACCGCAUGGUUCAAAAGUGAAAGACGGUCUUGCUGUCACUUAUAGAUGGAUCCGCGCUGCAUUAGCUAGUUGGUAAGGUAACGGCUUACCAAGGCAACGAUGCAUAGCCGACCUGAGAGGGUGAUCGGCCACACUGGAACGGAGACACGGUCCAGACUCCUCCGGGAGGCAGCAGUAGGGAAUCUUCCGCAAUGGGCGAAAGCCUGACGGAGCAACGCCGCGUGAGGGAUGAAGGUCUUCGGAUCGUAAAACUCUGUUAUUAGGGAAGAACAUAUGUGUAAGUAACUGUGCACAUCUUGACGGUACCUAAUCAGAAAGCCACGGCUAACUACGUG
rnacentral:rRNA from 1 species